rnacentral:tRNA from 1 species
UCCCUGAUGGUCCAGUGAUUAAGACUCUGUGCUCCCAAUGCAGGGGGCCCAGGUUCUAUCCCUGGUUGGGGAA